rnacentral:rRNA from 1 species
UACGUAGGGUGCAAGCGUUGUCCGGAAUUAUUGGGCGUAAAGAGCUCGUAGGCGGUUUGUCGCGUCUGCUGUGAAAACCCGAGGCUCAACCUCGGGCCUGCAGUGGGUACGGGCAGACUAGAGGUAGGUAGGGGGAGAAUGGAAUUCCCGGUGUAGCGGUGAAAUGCGCAGAUAUCGGGAGGAACACCGGUGGCGAAGGCGGUUCUCUGGGCCUUACCUGACGCUGAGGAGCGAAAGCGUGGGGAGCGAACAGG